GAUGAAGAACGUAGCGAAAUGCGAUACGUAAUGUGAAUUGCAGAAUUCAGUGAAUCAUCGAAUCUUUGAACGCAUAUUGCGCUCUCUGGUAUUCCGGAGAGCAUGCUUGUUUGAGUAUCAGUAAACACCUCAACUCCCCUUUCUUUUUUGAAAUGGGAGCUGGACUUGAGUGAUCCCAACGCUUUUCUCACCGAAAAGUGGCGGGUUACUUGAAAUGCAGGUGCAGCUGGACUUUUCUCUGAGCUAAUAGCAUAUCUAUUUAGUCUGCCUAAAAACAGAUUAUUACCUUUGCUGCAGCUAACAUAAAGGAGAUUAGUUCUUGUGCUGACUGAUGCAGGAUUCACAGAGACAGCUUCGGCUGGCCUUUGUAAACUCGAUCUCAAAUCAAGUAAGACUACCCGCUGAACUUAAGCAUAUCAAUAAGCGGAGGA
rnacentral:misc_RNA from 1 species